GAUGAACGCUGGCGGCGUGCCUAAUACAUGCAAGUCGAGCGAACAGACGAGGAGCUUGCUCCUCUGACGUUAGCGGCGGACGGGUGAGUAACACGUGGAUAACCUACCUAUAAGACUGGGAUAACUUCGGGAAACCGGAGCUAAUACCGGAUAAUAUAUUGAACCGCAUGGUUCAAUAGUGAAAGACGGUUUUGCUGUCACUUAUAGAUGGAUCCGCGCCGCAUUAGCUAGUUGGUAAGGUAACGGCUUACCAAGGCAACGAUGCGUAGCCGACCUGAGGGGGUGAUCGGCCACACUGGAACUGAGACACGGUCCAGACUCCUACGGGAGGCAGCAGUAGGGAAUCUUCCGCAAAGGGCGAAAGCUUGACGGAGCAACGCCGCGUGAGUGAUGAAGGUCUUCGGAUCGUAAAACUCUGUUAUUAGGGAAGAACAAAUGUGUAAGUAACUAUGCACGUCUUGACGGUACCUAAUCAGAAAGCCACGGCUAACUACGUG
rnacentral:rRNA from 1 species